rnacentral:rRNA from 1 species
UACGUAGGGUGUGAGCGUUAAUCGGCAUUACUGGGCGUAAAGCGUGCGUAGGCGGUUCGUUAAGUUCGUUGUGAAAGCCCCGGGCUCAACCUGGGAAUGGCAAUGGAAACUGGCGGGCUGGAGUAUGGCAGAGGGGGGUGGAAUUCCGCGUGUAGCAGUGAAAUGCGUAGAGAUGCGGAGGAACACCGAUGGCGAAGGCAGCCCCCUGGGCCAAUACUGACGCUCAGGCACGAAAGCGUGGGGAGCAAACAGG